ACGUCCAUACCAUGCUGAAUAUACCGGUUCUCUUUAGAUCACCGAAGUCAAGCAUCAUUGGGCGCGGUCAGUAUUUGGGUGGGUGGCCACCUGGGAACACCGCGUGCCGUU
rnacentral:rRNA from 1 species